GGGAUGGAUCGAGCACGACGGGUCAAUUUGAGUAUCCGGGGGAGCAUGGGGAUGAGAGGGGUUGGCGGAAGGCGGGCGGGCAUGCGGACGCAUGGUCCAGGGGCCUAAAGGCAGUAAACGUCGAAAAAUCCGACCGCGUUCGGGCCGUUCGAUGGCUCGGAAGAGGGUCGAAGCCGCGAUCGACCAUUACAACGCGCGAGUCGAGUAUCGCGCGUCGUGCACCGGUGGUGCGCGCGGUGUAACGUCGAGAGACCGCACCGGGGAUAGAGGCGAAACACACACGCGUAUUCAGAGAGAUAGAAAGAGAAAGAGAGAGAGCCAGAGAAAGAGAGAGAGAGAGAGAGAGAGAGAGAGAGAGAGAGAGAGAGAGAGAGAACGCGAACGAGAGAGGGCGAGGGAAAAAGAGAGAGACGCGGGGCUCUUUUCCGUAAUUUCGGGGUGAGCCGGCAGGGUCGAUUAACGCGGCCGUGAUUCACCCGUUAGAUCGGUAAGGAGGAAGUUCGUUCGCGCGCGCGUCGCAGAUCUCACGAUAUUUCGAUCUGUUUUCUUAAUCCUCGCGGUCGCAGUGGAGUACGUGAGACGAGUGUUUCACCUUGUUGAGCUUCGUAGUGAUUUCUCAUCGCAAACUGAAAACCCCUUUGCCGAAGUGAAAACUUCGUGACGAUUCGAUCAAUUUUGUGAAACUGCCCGACAUAUUUUACACACGCUCAGCUGAGUGCGCAAUGCGACGACUCGUCAAGGAUGUAUAAUGCUCACGAGAUUCUUGGAGGAGUUGUAAUCAUGGAUCCGGAAGAAACGACGGUACGAAAGUCGAGGGAAGAGUCGCGAUAAUUUACUUCACUGCUGUUACAAAAAUCUUACACGACUGCGAGCGAUCUGCGCAACGAGUUAGCGGCCAUUUAGAUAAUAAACUGUACAUUUCGCGCUAAAUGAUAGCCGAGAUCCCCGCGGCUCCCUCGGCGCAUCGUUACCGUUGUCUGGAAAUGAAGGAGGAGGGUCGAGUCCCCGCGCAUUAGAAAAAUAUCAAGGGCAAUAUUUCUUCCCGAGAGCGUUGCUCGCCGCGCCUCCCGUAACCGAGAACGAGACCCCGGGAGAAGGAAGUGGGAACGGGCGAGAAGAAAAAUGCGAUACGUAAGGUCCUGUUGCUUCGCGCUCUCUGAUGUCCGGAAUUCUAUAAAGCGACUUAAGGAGGACAUACUGCGACGGCUUUCAAGUCCAAAAGUUCGAAAAGUUUCCACGGCGCCGGGGAAUCCCGGCAGUUUUGACUAUAUUGUCGCAAUAUGAUGGACCUUGGAAAAUCACGUUGAGAAAAUACUUGUUGCGGACAUCCUUAGAAACAACAGAGACCCAUUCAGUUGUACGAUGCGACGAAUUGUCGACUUCCCUUUGGAAAAGGUAUUAGGUAUGUGCUACCCUAUUAUGUGCAAAAGUUUUGAUGUUUUUAUUUGAGAGGCAACUUUUAAAUGUGCUCAUCUCAUUGUCUAUGUAUGCAGCUGCAUCUUUGUAAUAAUUGUUAUAAUAAAUAAUAAUCGCAUUUUAAAGAAAGAAGAUAUGGAUAAAAAUUCUGUCAAGUAAGCAGAUUGAUAAGUUGCAUACGGAAGCGUUAGAAACUAACAAUUUCUUUAGUUUAUUGUAUAUUAUCGCCAUACACGUUACAUGCAUUUUUAAAAAAAGCAAAUGCCUAAUGUAUAAGUUUUCUAAAUCGCUGUGCUUUCUUCGUGAAUUUUUAAUUAUUGCUGUAUCAAUGAAACUUUUAUUUAUUUUAUAACUGAAUCAUUGUUUAUUAUAAAUAUUAGUAUAAAGACAGAACUGCAUUGCAUAGGCAAUAAAACUAGCACUUAAAAAUUUGCCUCUCAAAUAAACUACCAGACUUUUCCACAUGAUAAUUAAAAACUAUAAAUUUCUCUCUAAAUUUCUUUUUUCUCGUAAAAAGAAUUAUUCACAGUUAUCGCACAUGAAAGAUAUAUUUAACCUCGUUAUAUCAUAUAUGACAAAUAAAGAUGAGCAAAGGAAAUUAGAGAGUUAGGAUUUAGAGAAUUGCAGCUUAUAUUUCCCAUGAUUGUCAGCGAAUAUCAGUAAUGUGAUUAAUUUGCAAUACUAAAUGAGAUCAUACUGAAAUUAAUUAUUCGGUAUAUUUUCGGUUUGCAGAUUGGAAAUAUUAUCUUCAGAUUUCACAUAUUGCACAUCGAUUAUGUAUCAAGUUGCACGGUUCAGAAAUAUCCAUUAAUAAAAAUAUGCUACGGUAAAAAAAAUAUAUACGUAAAUUAUUUGCGGAAACAAUGGUUCCAUAUUACAGAAAAAUAUUUGCAUUGAUAUUAAUAUUUAUGACGUAUACCUUUCCGUAUUUUAUUUCUACUCUUAACGGCAUUAUCAGAUGUUUUUAAAAAUUUAUAUCUUUUGCAUAUUUUUUUAUGUUAAAAAAAUUAAAUCCCUUAAACCAAUACCUGGGUAUUACCAAUACUGGUAUCGCCAAUCGUAUUAGUCGCAAAAAAAUUUCAAAAACAGCAACAGAACUACGGCAUAUUUUGUUUCAUGGAGAUAUAAUAAUUCACGAAAAAUGUCCACGACAGAAGAACGGCGUUCCAAACUAUUUUUUUCUCGCUCGGAGUAUUCUCAAAUUUCCCAUAAAUUACCAUAAUUUCUGAACUCUAAGAAAAAUAGGGACUCGCGUCCGGGAUCACAUAGAAUUCUAAGUUCCACCUCGAUUACGUCCGUAUCAGAGACGAGUCACAAUUUACGGACGACCCGACCGCCAUCGCGGCGCGGGAACGAGCGCAUUUGCUUUCCAUCGACGUGCGGGGAAAGGCGAGAGGGAGAGGAAGACGGGGGGGGGGGGGGAACACACUUUUCACACCCUCGCUCGAAACACCAUAAAGCACCGGGCGCGCUAGGUGGGAAGGUCGAGUGAAGUCAAGUUGGGUUAGGUUAGGUUAGCGUCGUGAAUGACGGAGGAGGGUCGCGUUUCGCCCCGAUAAAGUUUGUUCGAUCGGCCGUUAGUCUCCUUCUUAUGGCCCCUAUGCCGCGGCAAGCUUUAAGCUACCUCCAUAGUAAAACUCGCGAUCAUUGCUCGUCUAUACGUGAGCGUUUCGCGAGAAAUUCACGAAUUUUCAAAAUCAAAGGAGGAGUACACAUAUAUAUAUAUAUAUAUAUGUGUAUAUGUGACAAGAUGUAGAAGAAGCUAAUGCCAGAACUUUUUUUUCAAAGACAUACCUUUAAUUACGUGUUACACGUGUCUUGGAAUUGUUCUACCAGUGUCCCAGAUUUAUGCUAAUUAUCCAUUUAUUACUCUCGAAAAAGACUACUCGGGUCGCGGCUCCGCAACGUGGGGCCGGUAUUACACACACGUGGCGCUUCGUACCCUUUUCCCGCGGACUUGGAGGUCGGGCACGUUGUGCCGGAAAGCGUGCAACGGCCGCGGACGAGCGUUUAACUUUGUUCCGAAGUUCUCCAAGGUCGUGCCGGCGCGGCGCGGCGCGCCCGUUGUAGGUCGGUGCCACUGGAGUAAAGCAGCGGAGAGAGAAAGAGAGAGAAUUUCCCGAGGCCGCGUCAUAAAUCUCUAUCUGCUGCCUGGGGGUAAACGUUCGCGGGAUAGACUUUGGCGACGAUUGUAAUUUCGCGCCACCAGGGUGUUGUCUCACCCCCACGUGUACGCGAACAUGUGUGAGUGUCCGUGUACCUGUACCGCCGAGAGCGACGAAAGAUUUAUCCGGUCCCACUUUCUUUUCUCCCACGACGCCGACGGGGAGGAGCGAUGCUUAUUGCUCCGGCGGUUGGUGGCGUAAAUAAAUUUAUUAUCGAUGUCGCGUAAACGCGGUAGGCGUUUCUAAUUUAUGAAGCUUUUUGUUAACUCCUUUAACUUUUAAACGGCCGGAUAGAGUAACUAGAGAUUGUAUCUUCAAUCGAUAAAAAAAGAAGAGAUUUCUGCACGACUUUUUUUCAUAAUUUUUUCAUAAUUUACCAAUAUAAUUUUUAAUUGCACUUUAUAAAACUGACAUAAAAUACUUACCGCGAAUAUAAAAUAUUCAUCUUUGCAUACAUUUUAAUAUAUUAUAUAGGAUUAGACUGUAACUUCAAAAGGAUUGUAAUACGCGAUUAACAUAACGCAAGACGUUCAAUUCCGCGACAUGACGUGACGCGGAAAUGGAUUAACGAGGUGAGACUUCAACGCGUAAAUAAUUGAUUUGUAGUCGGCAAAUCAAUCUCCACAAGCGACGAGCGAUUACUUCCCUAGUCGCAUGGUAAACUCCCCCCCCCCCUCUCUCUCUCUCUCUCUCUCUCUCUCUCUUUCAUAAUGCAACUUUAUAUACAAAGUAGAAAAAAACUCCAACCCACGUUUGACUCAAACCAUUUAAUCCUUUUUUUUUCAUCGAUACUAUCCUUUGUAACACUUGCUCCGGCAACAAAGUAUUUGGCCAAUUGUUGCGCGAGUUAUUAUCACGGAAAGCGUCGAAAACAAAGCUCCCCGGGGGAUUACUUGACAACGAGCACUUAGCUGCUCAUUCAUGCGACCGGUUUUUUUUUCCGCACGCAUUGCCAAUCUGCAUAACCGCGGGAAAACCGGCGCGAUAUACCUUUUAUACGUUACGUUAAGCGCGGUGUUUGCUUUUCGCGAUACGAAAUAAACGAUCGCGCGCGUUUACCAAGCAUUCAUACGUCAAUAUUUAGAACGAAUUGUCGUCCGUACGAUUUACCGCUGUUUGUACGCUAUUUAUACGCGCUAUUUAUUAUUUAUACAAUGGAAAUUUGCGAUUCGCGACGCUAAUUGACGCUCGUCGCUGUUGUAACAUUCAAGCGGUCAACCGCUAAUCGUUUGUACAUCUUGCACGAGAUUAAUUUAUAUAUCUUCAUGAAACAGUUCUCUCUCUCUCUCUCUCUCUCUCUCUCUCUCUCUCUCUCUCUCUCUUUCUCUCACUCUGUUUCUCUUUCUCCUUCUGUAUUCACGUUCGCAAUAGGUCGGCAUUAAAAAUAAGAACAAGUAAUCUUACAAUAUGCCGGGCAAAAAUAGUAAAUUAAUAAUAGAAUACCAAUAGUUUUAUCAAUAAUUUAAGAAUGCUUAGAACUGCCACUGUAAAAUUGUUGAUUCGGUAAUUGAAUGAAUUAUUUAGGAAAGCUAAACUGAUCAAAAUAAAGUGUUUGCCAUGCUUAAGUGAAAGAUUUCCGCGAGUCGUAAUUAAGAAAAAAAAAUUGAGUCACUAUCGGUUAAAAAUAUAUCACAAGUGUACAGUAAGCUUGAAUGAUAAAAUUCACGAUGAUUUUAGUAUAAUCCGGGCAAAACGAUACCGGCGCGUGGUACCAUCGACAAUGGAAACAACAAUGGUUGUCAUUUCUAUUACAAUAGACACGCUGCGCGCUUCUGUUCUAACAAUUCCAUUAUCUCCGCGCGAAAGCCUCCGCCGGGGCGAGGCUUUAUUAUGCCUAUCAGAAAAUUUAGAUCGUUUAUUUAAUGGGAUAUAAAUAGUCGAGCGCGGCCUAUUAACAAAAUACGGAGUAUUUCGCGCGGAACAAUAGCUUUGCGAAGUCAUUUGGCCGUUCACGCGACGACUGCAAUUAUACGUUUCGUUUUAAUGGCGCCGCAAGUAAGCAAUUUAAUGCUUAACGUUAUGCAAUUAAAAUUAAAAAUGGAUCGUAUAAUAUCAUGGACGUCGAUUUCAUUAAAAAUUUUUAAAAGCCAACCACGUCUGCUUCGGCGAUGCGUGUAACAUGUUCCAAUGUACACGAUAAUAAUUUUAUCUCUCCCCUCUUUUUUUUCCCCCUGUAGCGGCAAUUAUUGCAAGAUGCGAAAAAUGCAA
rnacentral:lncRNA from 1 species